rnacentral:misc_RNA from 1 species
GUCUAUGAUUAAAUCACAAGUGUCUCUUUAGAAAAAGAGCUAUCAUACUGUGGAUAUGAGCUCAGGUAGAGCAUUAAGCAGUUGAAAAGCUUCCAAGCUAGUUGAAAAAUAAAAAUGUGCUUUUAACAUAAAAGUUUCCCUAUACUUCAGGUUUCAGCGUGUUUCUAUGACUAAGCUUAGACAAAGAACUCGAUUUCAUACUAAUUUCUAGAGAACAACCACAACAUUCAUAAAAAAUCCUAGUUGUUGAUCUAGAGGCCUUUAUAUUAAAUAUUUGUGUAAUAAUCCCAUAUGGCAAUUAAAUCUGACAAGCAGUAAA